rnacentral:rRNA from 1 species
UACAGAGGUCCCAAGCGUUGUUCGGAUUCAUUGGGCGUAAAGGGUGCGUAGGUGGCGCUGUAAGUCGGGUGUGAAAUUUCGGAGCUUAACUCCGAAACUGCAUUCGAUACUGCGGUGCUUGAGGACUGGAGAGGAGACUGGAAUUCAUGGUGUAGCAGUGAAAUGCGUAGAGAUUAUGAGGAAGACCAGUGGCGAAGGCGGGUCUCUGGACAGUUCCUGACACUGAGGCACGAAGGCCAGGGGAGCAAACGGG